rnacentral:snRNA from 1 species
GUGCUUGCUUCAGCAGCAUAUAUACUAAAAACUGGAAUGAUACACAGAACACUAGCAUGGCACCUGCAUAAGGAUGAUGUGCAAAUUUGUGAAGUGUUCCAUAUUAAA